CCCGCGCCGUAUUAGCUAGUUGGUGGGGUAACGGCCUACCAAGGCGACGAUACGUAGCCGACCUGAGAGGGUGAUCGGCCACACUGGAACUGAGACACGGUCCAGACUCCUACGGGAGGCAGCAGUAGGGAAUCUUCCGCAAUGGGCGAAAGCCUGACGGAGCAACGCCGCGUGAGUGAUGAAGGUCUUCGGAUCGUAAAGCUCUGUUGUUAGGGAAGAACAAAUGUGUAAGUAACUGUGCACAUCUUGACGGUACCUAACCAGAAAGCCACGGCUAACUACGUGCCAGCAGCCGCGGUAAUACGUAGGUGGCAAGCGUUAUCCGGAAUUAUUGGGCGUAAAGCGCGCGUAGGCGGUUUUUUAAGUCUGAUGUGAAAGCCCACGGCUCAACCGUGGAGGGUCAUUGGAAACUGGAAAACUUGAGUGCAGAAGAGGAAAGUGGAAUUCCAUGUGUAGCGGUGAAAUGCGCAGAGAUAUGGAGGAACACCAGUGGCGAAGGCGGCUUUCUGGUCUGCAACUGACGCUGAUGUGCGAAAGCGUGGGGAUCAAACAGGAUUAGAUACCCUGGUAGUCCACGCCGUAAACGAUGAGUGCUAAGUGUUAGGG
rnacentral:rRNA from 1 species